AUCCAGCUGAUGAGUCCCAAAGAGGACGAAACUUGAGUCCUGGAU
rnacentral:hammerhead_ribozyme from 1 species